ACGUAGGGCGCGAGCGUUGUCCGGAAUUAUUGGGCGUAAAGAGCUCGUAGGCGGCCUGUUGCGUCCGCUGUGAAAGCCCGGGGCUUAACCCCGGGUCUGCAGUGGAUACGGGCAGGCUAGAGGUAGGUAGGGGAGAAUGGAAUUCCCGGUGUAGCGGUGAAAUGCGCAGAUAUCGGGAGGAACACCGGUGGCGAAGGCGGCUACCUGGACCAGCACUGACACUGAGGCACGAAAGCGUGGGGAGCAAACAGGA
rnacentral:rRNA from 1 species